AUUGAACGCUAGCGGGAUGCCUUACACAUGCAAGUCGAACGGAGUGGCGAACGGGUGAGUAAUGUAUCGGUACGUGCCCAGUAUCUGGGGAUAACUACGCGAAAGCGUAGCUAAUCCCGCACACUUUUUGAGCGGCCGUUGACGGAUUGGCUCGUUGGUAGGGUAAAGGCUAACAAAGGCGACGAUCCGUAGCUGGUGUGAGAGGACGACCGGCCACACUGGGACGGAGACACGGCCCAGACUCCUACGGGAGGCAGAAGUGGGGAAUUUUGGGCAAUGGGCGAAACCCUGAUCCAGCAAUCCCGCGUGAGCGAUGAAGGCCUUCGGGUUGUAAAGCACUUUUGGCAGGAAAGCGGUACCUACAGAAUAAGCAACGGCUAACUACGUGCCAGCCGCCGCGGUAAUAC
rnacentral:rRNA from 1 species